AGUAAACAGUAAAUAAAAUUAAAAAAAAAAAAAAAAAGUUCUCUGUUGAUUAAGAAACCCAGCGAAAUCUGUCCUAUGAGAAGUCAGUUCUCAGGCAGCAAUGUGCUGGGGUGGUGUGAUGUGCAGGGGUUAAUGUUUAAGCUUCUGUUUUUGUUUAGAGUAGUCAGCAGCAGAUAAUGCUGUAUAUCCUCAAAAUAGGCACGGAUCCAUUGAGAGGCACGAGGUCCAGGCCAUGAAGAGAUUUGCAGGCUUCAAAGUCCCAGGCAGGCCAGUACAAAACAAAACAAAAAAUAAUAAUAAUAAAUUUAAAAAAAAAAAAAAAGAGAGAGAGAGAGAAAUUACCAAAAACAAAGUAGGAAAGCAAGGAAAGCUGGAUAUUUGCAACCUGUGGGGUACCAAGGGACCCAGCCAGCCCAGCCCAGCAGUACCAGUAAAGAUCCCCUGUUCCCUGCUUGCCCCCUAGCAAAAUUUGUUUUGCCGGGGGGAAAAUAUCACCCUAACCUGCCCAGGCUCAAGGGGCAGCACACUUUUAACCCCCCUACACCCAUUCCUGAUCCUUGUCUUCCUCCUGGGCGAUGCAUUCAAGCCCUAAAAUUGGAACUUGAAGUCCUCGGGCGUGCAGAACCCUCCAGGAGGCAACAACACGCUCAUUAAUUCAAGCUCAGACUAAGGCUGCUGUAGACACGGGUAUGAAAUCAUCAGUUUUAUUUAGUUCAGCGGUUAGGUAUGAUUGUUCUGAACUGCGAUUCAACCCUGUUCUCUUAUAUAUCUGGCAGUGUUAAAAGUAACAAGUCUAUCACCUCUGGAGCCAUUUCUCUGUCGUUCGCAUCCUUGCUGGAGCUGCAGUGUUUAGCUGGAGGGCUUCAUCUCUUCGAGACAGCCACCUGUCAAUUAUCUGUCUCCUCCAUAAAUAAAAUAAACGCUCAGUGACUUUUUUUUUAAUACACAAAAAGCAGCUGUCCCUCCGUGUUUGCAGUAAGGCUGGUGGCACUGCGUUAGGAGGAGGUAAAGCGAUGGGCUCCAUCACUGCAGUUAGGGCUUUGCAUUAAGCUGAAUGAAAUUCAGCUGCGUGGCAUCCCCUCACACCACUCCCUUUAUGCUGGCUGGCACUGCCAGGAGGAGAUUUCCAUUCUCCCUGUACACACGGAUGGUUGUCGAGCUCCAAAACCAGACCCACCAUGCACAGACCCACCACUGACAGCCUCUCUUGCCCAGAGACAGAGAAAGAAAAGAAACUGAUGCAACAGAAGAUCUUCACCACACCAUCUGAGCAAUGCACCUCGCUCCUGAUCCGUGACACCCAGCCUGCUCGCUCCAUUCCUGCAGCGAGACCCAGCGCAGGGCUCUGAAUUCACUGCAACCAAAAGGUCUGCGAGAAAGGCUCCGAGACAACCCCAAACCACCCUGUAUGGACACAGUGGGCUUUGGGGAAGAUGGGAAGCCUGGCGAGGCCACCCCAGGAACCUGCAGGUGGCUUCGGAUGGGACCUUUGGUCUGUGCUGUGCCCCCUGACACCACCAGGUCCUGCAGGGCUGCUCCUGCUCCUGAGUGCCCGGUAGGCAGCGGGGCUGUAACAAACAUUACUCAUCCACAGCCAGUGCUCACCAGCUCCAGCUUCUCGCAGUCGUGCAUGACGCAUAUGUUUACCACCAGUGGGAGGGUUUUUUUAUAUAUGUAUUUUUUUUACUGCAGUAAAGUGUCCCUGUUCCUGAGGACAGAGGAAUGAUUACCCACCGCUUUCAUGGUAUAAUAAAGAGCAUA